UACGAAGGGGGCCAGCGUUGUUCGGAAUCACUGGGCGUAAAGGGUGCGUAGGCGGGUCUUUAAGUCAGGGGUGAAAUCCUGGAGCUCAACUCCAGAACUGCCUUUGAUACUGAAGAUCUUGAGUUCGGGAGAGGUGAGUGGAACUGCGAGUGUAGAGGUGAAAUUCGUAGAUAUUCGCAAGAACACCAGUGGCGAAGGCGGCUCACUGGCCCGAUACUGACGCUGAGGCACGAAAGCGUGGGGAGCAAACAGG
rnacentral:rRNA from 1 species